GCGACCCCCUCCACACAGACCACUUUGCCGAACAGAUCCUCGUUCUGCCGCUGGUCGCUCUCCUCCUCUUCGCUGGAGGAUGAAGACAAUUCUUCUUCUUGACUGAGGGAGAUAAGGGCAGUUUUUAAAAAGGCGGAGGGUUCCUGCUGACCAAUCAUCUCUCCGUUUAACACCCAAAGUCUCCGCCUAUCAGUCCACGCCGCCACAAAGACUUUCCAGUUGUGCCAGCGGGACAAAACAGAGCGGCAGCUUCACCGAGGACCUCGUUAGGAUCAGUGUGCGGACGAGCCGGCUGAUUCCGACAGCUUCUGAGCAAACGGACCCUACGUCCUCUUGUUAUACGUCACUAGGCAACAACUCUGUGUUCAGUUUGGCACAAUUCAAGAGCAGUAAAUCAGCCAGUCUGUUACUACCACUACGACAGCAACUAAGCUGUGACUCAGAGUCAUAAACAAAGCGCUUCAGCCACUCGAUGACGAACGAUUCAGGCAACUCAUGUAGGAAAUGCCAUGAGCACGGGGUGUAAGACAACAAAAUAACGUAGCAGAAUUUCCUCUUUACAACAGAAAGGAGCCGUAAUUAAAUGCUGCGCCAAAAAAUCCGGAAGCUGCUCCUAUUCCCCGUCUCCCAACACAAAACACCCAGUGGAACAUUUUAGUCAGAGAAGACGACAAAAAAAAAAAAAAAAACUGGCUCUCCAGUUUCGGGUCACGGACGCUGUUCAUGAGCGGACGUGGAUGAGAGUAAAUCUGCCGUCAGCACACUUGGAUUAAGGGGAGCGUGUUACAGAUGAGUGGAUUGGUAGAAAGGAAGAUCCCUCGCCGGCAGCAUUGCAGACCUCAUAUAUACACAUAUGAAGUGUGAUGCGAGCCAGGCGGGAUGCGCACACAGACGGGAGGGCGAUACUCACAUCGGAUUCGAUCGCCUGCCGCGGUUGCCCUUCUUGCCGAUGACGGGCGUGCCGAAGUGCUCGGGGUUGGUGAGGGGGAGUCUGUCGAGCGUCUGCGGAGGGGGAGGCAGGCAACAGCAAAGGGUGUCAGCGCCACAUUAUCAGAUGCAAAAUCUCUCUGUGAGAUUUCAUGCGUUGCGGAGGGACGGCCCAAUACUCGCCUCGCUCUCUGCAAAGUGACGCGCUCCCUUCAGGCAGAGAGAGGAGCGCCUCAGGGUCUUCUCAUCGCCGUCGUCGAACACUGCGGGGACGAGAGACUGUUAGGCGGCUGCAGGAGGGACGGGAGCCCACAGAAACACACCCUAAAACGGUGUCCUCGGUUACUAAAUGACUGCCGGAUUUAUGACAUGUUAAAAAGCAAUUAUGCUUGUGUUUGUAAGGCUUAGAAGGAUCCUCCAGCAGGCAGCUCCGUGUGUUAUCACAGCUUCAAGGACUCGCUGUCAGACAGAGUGAACGCACACAUGGGAAAAUAAAAGAGAUGCAAAGGAAGUG